CGUCCUGCUUCUUACAACCUUUUUUGUCAUCUAACAAGAAAUGAGUGUAUUGCUUUUUUUGUCAUCUAACAAGAAAUGUGUAAAAUAUUUUCUCUAAAAAAGUUUCAGAGUCAAUUUCUACAAACUUAGUCUUAAAUGUCGUAAUAUGACAUUACUAAACAAAGAAACAUUUUAAGUCCCAUUGGUUGUCUUUGAUCCUAGUACAAAAACUCAAAUUUCAAUUUUAUGAACAACGUAGUUCUUAAUGGUUUUGCAAGAGAGCACACCAGACUUUGUAGUCUUAUAAUGUUCUUCGAUGUUCUAUCGAAUAUGCCUUGGAUUGAAGAGCACUAAUGCACACUAUUGGAGAACGCCUCAUUCGUGUCGGCCCAAAGCCCACAAGUAUCGAUGUCCCAUCCAUGUCGUCCUAAUAAUGGCUGAUGCAGUCAACACUGGUUUUGAUCCAGAACAUCCAGUACCUGUGAUUAUUAUACUAGUCUCAGUGCACAAAUUCAUAGCACAGUUACCAAGAUUGAUAAUUUAGUAACUGUGUCUUGUAUCUGUUGGGCUUCAUGGCGAUGAAACUCCUCUUAAAUAUGAUGAAACUCUCUCUCCUCUAUCCUCGUAAUGAUGUUGCCACGUCACCAAAAUUGUUGAUGUGAUAUGUUAUUUAAUGGUCAUGAAACUCUAGAUAAAACCUCCAGUGAGACGGGACUUAUGGACCCACAUGGAAAGUUUCAGCGCCAGCAUAUAAUCAAUGCCAGCACAAGUAUAUACUUGUACCGAGUUUAGAUGGCACCAGCAGGAGUCAGUGGUGCUUUUACACAUAUAUAGGAUGGUGAAGCGCAAGCGCCAAGAUACAAACUCGAGAAUCCCAAUUGGUAAUUAACAUGUUCGUGAUGGGGAAGUUUAAAAACCAAGCAUCUAUGUAUAUAUGCCCCAUUUUGCAUUUGAUGGAGACCAUCGAGACAGGCCGGUCCUGAGACUUUUGUGGCCUGGAGUGAAACUAAAAGAGGGCCUAUACUAAUAAAAGUAGUAAAGGCAGUAAUAAUUAUAAUAAAAGAUUUAAAUCAUGUGUCCAAAGCUAACAUUCAUAUCAAGCAAUUUAUAUUACAUCAAAAAUUUCUAAAUGCGAAGUCAUUGAUGAUGGCAUCAAUAUCGAUAUGAUCCAAAAGGGGAAAAAGUUAUUAGAUGGGAUCGACUUAAUCAAAUUAUUAGAUUAUAUAAGUUACAGUACAAAUGAAUUUUGAACUUCGAAUAUCAAUGGAGGGGGCAAGUUUGUGUUACCUAUUUUACUUCUGGCUGUGGCUCGGUGGCUGCCUGUGGUGUUUCCGCGUUUGUCGGCGUCGGACGGUCGGAGGCAAGUUCCUAAAGAUCAGAUCCCGGGAUCAGGCAGAGGGAGCGGAUGAGGAUACAGGCAUACAGGCACCGCACAGCCAGGCCGUCGCCCAUCAGGCGUCACUAGCGGCGGCACUCACCGCGUCAGGGACUCAGGGUUUCGGCGGAGGCGCGCGCAGAGCUGCAGAGGAGAUGAGGAGUUGCCACUCGCCAAUCGGCCGUCAGGCGUUGCGUCAGGACUCAGGUGUCAGGGUUUCGGCAACAUGCAAACAGUCAUCGAUGAUUCAUGGUCGAUCCGUUUGUCAGUUCGUGCCUUCGUGGAUUUAGCUGCUGGCCUACUGUUUGUGCUCGUCAGCUUAUCAGCUCGUCAGCCUAUGGGCCAGGCCCAACAGAUUAACUGAAUGUCUUAAGUCUGAACCACGCAGGUAAGCAAGUUGGAGCUCAAUACCCUAAAAGUAUGUAUACAUGGGGAUGGGCCCCUUCGUUUUUUGGGCCCAGGGCGGCCGCACUGCUCAACCCCCCCCCCCCCCGCCCCCUAGGGCCGGGCUUGCAUCGAGAGAGGCGAGAGUAGAUUGAUUGACAGCGCGCAGAGGAAAAAAGCAGAGGCGAGAGGAUGUCGACAACACAAGGCAUGGAUGUUGAGAUCAACCGCUUUGUCAUGAAGCAACUCGGCAUCUUCAACAGUGACCAGCGGACAGUGCUCGUGGCAAAUGUUGUCAAGCACUGCAACCAAGAGCAUUGGUACAUGAUGGUGGUGUGCCUCCGCUAGGCCCUAGGCCACCACAAGUUCAGAACUGCAAGCGAUGAUAUCACCGGGCUCAUUUUUGCCAUUCUUCCGAGUGCCGAAUAUAUUAAUCAUCCACAUGGCUAGAUAUGGAGGUGGUGGCAUGAGAUCAUGACCUUCUACCGCCUAAAUUCCUUCACCAUCAUGGAGAACAUGCAGAGGUGGGAGGCACUCAGUAACCCUACAACGAUUUGAUAGCACGGGCAUGUAUAUGUGAAUAUAAGGCACAUCUGGCAGGUCCACUUUCUCCCUACCACUCCCGUGAACCACUCGACUCAGCCCUAAAUCUAGUAGGUUGCUCCUCCUCCUCGUCCACCACCACCACCAGAUCCACCAUUGCCACUCCUCCUCUACCGCCACCACCAACGCAGCUACUACUCGUCCUCCUCCACCUAAUCCACCAUUGCUGCUACUCCUCCUCCUCCACCACCACAAGAUUUGCCACCACUACUCCUCCUCCACCACUUUCAGAUCUGCCUUCAUCUCUCCAUCUCUUCCUCCACCGACAUGUUGAAGGAUCCCACCAUGAUGUCCACAUGGCCAAGAUGGCUACAGCUAUCAAGGCUGCAAUGUACGUAGUGGUCGACUCCACAGCCGGCAUGCUUGAUUAAUAGAGAUGGUUAGAAGGUCCACACACAAAUCCUUGGUGGCAUUGGCACUAAGGGUGGAGGCUACUCCCUAUACAGCAGAAUAAGCCAUGACCGAUGGACUUAGGGUGGAGGCAGCAGCCUCUAUUGCCACGCGCAAUCGGCUCUUGCCCAUGCGCAGAUUGUGGGGGAUAGCCUACGACGUUCAGGCAUCCGUGCAAGCACGUACGUCUGUUUGUGGUGAAUUCUCAGGCUCACACGGCCUCAGAGCACAAGCUCCUAAAACAUCAUUGUUGUAGCCCCUACCUUCCUAGCUUAUUUGUCUUUGACAAAGGAGGUGGUGCAGUCAGUGUUGUUACAAUUAUCUAAAGUCCUGCACACGUCUCGGACGAUGUAAGCACCGAUAUGUUAUGAAUGAACCAGCCUUUUUUCGAGAUAGCUAGGCUUAUUGUUGAUAAAGCGAUGAACUAGAUUAGUAUCGUUGUCUAUUUCAUGAUGAACUAGAUUAUGUGUUAUGAUGAUGUUGCUAAAUUUGAUGAUGGUAGUUGGUGA